rnacentral:rRNA from 1 species
UCUUCCGCAAUGGACGAAAGUCUGACGGAGCAACGCCGCGUGAGUGAUGAAGGUUUUCGGAUCGUAAAACUCUGUUGUUAGGGAAGAACAAGUACAGUUCGAAUAGGGCGGUACCUUGACGGUACCUAACCAGAAAGCCACGGCUAACUACGUGCCAGCAGCCGCGGUCAUACGUAGGUGGCAAGCGUUGUCGGGUAUUAUUGGGCGUAAAGCGCGCGCAGGCGGUUUCUUAAGUCUGAUGUGAAAGCCCCCGGCUGAACCGGGGAGGGUCAUUGGAAACUGGGGAACUUGAGUGCAGAAGAGGAGAGUGGAAGUCCACGUGUAGCGGUGGAAUGCGUAGAGAUGUGGAGGAACACCAGUGGCGAAGGCGACUCUCUGGUCUGUAACUGACGCUGAGGCGCGAAGGCGUGGGGAGCGAACAGG